UACGUAGGGUGCAGGCGUUAAUCGGAAUUACUGGGCGUAAGCGUGCGCCAGGCGGUGAUGUAAGACAGGUGUGAAAUCCCGGGGCUCAACCUCGGACUGCAUUUGUGACUGCAUCGCUGGAGUGCGGCAGAGGGGGAUGGAAUUCCGCGUGUAGCAGUGAAAUGCGUAGAGAUGUGGAGGAACACCGAUGGCGAAGGCAGCCCCCUGGGUCGACACUGACGCUCAUGCACGAAAGCGUGGGGAGCAAACAGG
rnacentral:rRNA from 1 species